CAAUACUUCAUUAUUCAACUUACUGAUCAACACUAUUUUUGAGCAAUAUAUUUAAUAUUAGUUUUUGAGCACUAUAACUUGGUAGUCAUUCAGUUAGCAUUCAAAAUGACUGUGUUUCAUGAAGAAAAUAGCCCAGUUUCCCAUAAAGAUAUUACGGAUAUAUAUAAAAAAUGUUCAGCCAUAUUAUUCGUUUAUAUGUUGGUGGUUCUCUUAAUUGUACUUCGCUUAAAUUUUAAGCGCAAGCGAUCGUCGAAGAAACAAUCACAACGCAAAACUUCUCAAGUAUUAUGGUCGAACGUAAACAAAGACACUGAAGAUUAUUGCAUUCCGUUAACUAAAUAUAUGAGAAACUAUCAAAUUGAUAAACAAAUCAAUGAAAUGCGUCAUCAAUAUGUAUAGAUGUAUCCGUGGAAUACAAGAAAACGAGAGGGCGAAACCACUUUACUCCACCGCAAACUGCACUGUCAAAAAAAUAUGCUAAAUAAAUAAAUAAAAAAAAAUUCAGGCAACAAUAGUCAUUUUGAGUACAACGAAACAGCGAUACUCUUGCCUCACUUUUAAAUAAUUUA